rnacentral:tRNA from 1 species
AUUUAUAUAAUAUAACAUAUUAUAUUUGACUUCCAAUCAAAAAACCUAAUUAUUUUUAGUAUAAAUA